rnacentral:rRNA from 1 species
UACGUAGGGUGCAAGCGUUGUCCGGAAUUAUUGGGCGUAAAGAGCUCGUAGGCGGUGUGUCGCGUCGGCCGUGAAAACCUGCAGCUUAACUGUGGGCUUGCGGUCGAUACGGGCAUCACUGGAGUUCGGCAGGGGAGACUGGAAUUCCUGGUGUAGCGGUGAAAUGCGCAGAUAUCAGGAAGAACACCCGUGGCGAAGGCGGCUCUCUGGGACGGUACUGACGCUGAGACGCGAAAAGCGUGGGGGAGCAAACAGG